rnacentral:rRNA from 1 species
AUUGAACGCUGGCGGCAGGCUUAACACAUGCAAGUCGAACGAGUGGCGGACGGGUGAGUAAUGCUUGGGAAUCUAGCUUAUGGAGGGGGAUAACUACGGGAAAACGUAGAUAAUACCGCGUACCAUAGGAGUAGCCCACGUGGGAUUAGGUAGUUGGUGGGGUAAAGGCUCACCAAGCCGACGUCCGCUAGCUGGUCUGAGAGGAUGACCAGCCACACUGGGACUGAGAAACGGCCCAGACUCCUACGGGAGGCAGCAGUGGGGAAUAUUGCGCAAUGGGGGAAACCUGACGCAGCCAUGCCGCGUGAAUGAAGAAGGCCUUCGGGUUGUAAAGUUCUUUCGGUGACGAGGCGUUAAUCACAGAAGAAGCACCGGCUAACUCCGUGCCAGCCGCCGCGGUAAUAC